AAAAAGUGAAAGCUGUGCAGUGGUGCUUAUAACUAAUUGAUCACAACCAGUUACAGAUUGUUUUGUUCCUUCUUCAUUCCCACUAGUUCACUUGACUAAC
rnacentral:sRNA from 1 species